UCUAGGGGAUCAAAAAACAAAUCAUGACAAUUCUCUAACUCUUGAGAAGUUUAAUAUUUUUGGAAAAAGAUAUUCAGAAGCAUAUAUCUAUAUCAAAAGAGAAAUUGUUAACAAAAACAAAUAAAUUUAGAUUACGAUAAAAAUUAAACUAAUACAAACUUCAACUGGUGUUAUUACAAGUCAUAUAAACUUUUCUUCGUCGAAAAAUACUUAAAUAUUAGAAAAUGGUAAAUCAUUAAAAUAAAAGGG
rnacentral:lncRNA from 1 species